rnacentral:lncRNA from 1 species
UGAGUUCAAGGCCAGCUUCUGAUCUGAUGUCUCUGGCCUCCAAGAACACCCGCACUCACCCCCACACACUCACGCACAGAGUAUGGUGAAGGCCAUUGAUGGACUGCUCUCCUGGAGAAGCCAGGUUCAAAUCCCACCCACAUGGCAGCUCACAACUCUUUGUAACUCCAGCAUCUGACACUCUCACACAGACGUAUUCAGGCAAAAUACCAAUGCACAUAAAAUAAAGGUAAAUAAUUUUUUUAAAAAGACCAUAAAGCCGGGCAUGGUGGUGCAUGCCUUUAAUCCCAGCACUUGGGAGGCAGAGGCAGGUAGAUUUCUGAUUUCGAGGCCAGCCUGGUCUACAAAGUGAGUUUUAGGACAGCCAAGGGCUAUACAGAGAAACCCUGUCUCGAACUCCCCCCCCCCCAAAAAAAAGACCAUUAAAAAAAAAACAAUAUUUAACAAUGAAACCACUACUAUAUUCUCACUUGUUGAUGCUGAACCCCCAGACACCCUCAUCCUUUGUUUUCAAGCCUCCCUCCUCCAGUUAGACUUUUCUGACCCCUUAAAUAGAUUACUUCUACUUUAAUGUCAGAGUUACUUUAAUGUUGGUUACUUUAAUGUGUGUGCUUGUGAAGAAAACGUAGAAGAGUUGGUUCUCUUCUACCUCAUGGGUCCCAGGGAUCAAACUCAGGUUGUUGGCUUGGUGGUGAGAGCCUUUACUUGCUGUCUCACCUACCCAAAGGAAAACAAUGUUCAGUGAUGUGUGAAUGGCAACACUACCUUUCAAUAAAAAGGAUUCGUUUUCAAAAAAAAAUGAAAUUAGAUGUUUUAAAUGCUUAUUCUUUCUCCCUUUUUUUGAUCCUCUUUCUUUAUUUAUGUGUUUAGUUAUUUAUUUGGUUUUUUGAGACAGGGUUUCUCUGUGUAGCCUGGUCUUUCCUUGAACUCCCUUUGUAGACUAGGCUGGCCUAGAACUCAGAGACCCACCUGCCUCUGCCUUCUGAGUGCUGGUAUUAAAGGCGUUCACCACCACACCUGGCGGAUAGUAGAUUUUUUUUCUUUCUAAUAUCAUCAGAUUAUGGUUUCUCCUCCCCCCAGCUCCUCCUUACCCAACCAAAUCCACACUAGAAUAGCAACAAACAUACAAGUGGGAGAAAAAAAGAGAUGAUGAAGAAGAAACAACGAGGUACUGACACAUACAUCCACAAGAGAGAAUGCAGAAAUCAAAAGAAGAAGAAGAAGAAGAAGAAGAAGAAGAAGAAGAAGAAGAAGAAGAAGAAGAAGAAGAAGGAGAAGAAGAAGAAGAAGAAGAAGAAGAAGAAGGCAAAAUUGGAAACCAAUACAAAUAUAAGUUAAAGCCACAAAACCGCUUCUAAAAUAACCGUUGAAUUCAUUUAGGGUUGGCCAUUUACUGCUGGGCAAUGUGCCUGCCUUGUGAGUUGUUUGUAGCUUGUUUCUUCCUCUCUUUCUAUGUUUCUUUCUUUACUUCUUUCUUUCUUUCUUUCUUUCUUUCUUUCUUUCUUAUUAGAUAUUUUCUUUAUAUACAUUUUAAAUGCUAUCCUGAAAGUUCCCUAUACCCUACCUCUGCCCUGCUCCCCUACCCACC